rnacentral:tRNA from 1 species
GCUCCCGUAGCUCAGAUAGAGUACCUGGUUUUUAACCAGUGGGGUCGGUAAGUGAAACUCUUGCCCGGGAGUUCCA